UACGUAGGGCGCGAGCGUUGUCCGGAAUUAUUGGGCGUAAAGAGCUCGUAGGCGGCCUGUUGCGUCCGCUGUGAAAUCCCGGGGCUCAACCCUGGGCGUGCAGUGGAUACGGGCAGGCUGGAGGCAGGCAGGGGAGAACGGAAUUCCCGGUGUAGCGGUGAAAUGCGUAGAUAUCUGGAGGAACACCGAUGGCGAAGGCAGGUCACUGGGCCGCAACUGACGCUGAGGAGCGAAAGCAUGGGGAGCGAACAGG
rnacentral:rRNA from 1 species